CCUACGGGGUGCAGCAGUGAGGAAUAUUGGUCAAUGGACGAGAGUCUGAACCAGCCAAGUAGCGUGAAGGAUGACUGCCCUAUGGGUUGUAAACUUCUUUUUUAUGGGAAUAAAAUGUUCCACGUGUGGGCUUUUGUAUGUACCAUAUGAAUAAGGAUCGGCUAACUACGUGCCAGCAGCCGCGGUAAUACGGAGGAUCCGAGCGUUAUCCGGAUUUAUUGGGUUUAAAGGGAGCGUAGGUGGAUUGUUAAGUCAGUUGUGAAAGUUUGCGGCUCAACCGUAAAAUUGCAGUUGAAACUGGCAGUCUUGAGUACAGUAGAGGUGGGCGGAAUUCGUGGUGUAGCGGUGAAAUGCUUAGAUAUCACGAAGAACUCCGAUUGCGAAGGCAGCUCACUGGACUGCAACUGACACUGAGGCUCGAAAGUGUGGGUAUCAAACAGGAUUUGAUACCCUUGUAGUC
rnacentral:rRNA from 1 species